rnacentral:misc_RNA from 1 species
CCAAUUUCAAUAUUCACUUCUCCGAGCUAUUGACCUCAUGUCAUGGGCCUAAAUUGAUUAUAUUGAACGCCUUACUGCAGUUGGAGACUGACUGCUAUCAUGGAACAGAGGAGCAGACGUUGAAUCGGGCGCAGGACGACUUUCAAUUAAUCUUUUGGUUUCCUUUUCCAUUUUUUUGUUUACAAAUCACAAGAUCAGUUUAGUGAUUUCGUGAAUAUAAAGACAGAUAUAAAGAGUUCCGAAUCAUAUGAUCAUGUGACUUGGACAAAAUGGCGGAUAAAAUUACAAGUACUGCAAGUUCUCCUAAUACAUCUGCUUUGUACUAUGAUGUGUCUCCAAAUAUAGUGACGUUUUACAGAUUAUUUGGAGGUGUCACUUUAAUAAUGGUUUUGUUGGCUUUUGUCUUCUGCCUGGUGAAGGGAUCAGAGAACCACACAAACUACCUAUUAGCCUGUAAUCUAAUCAUCAGCACAUUUGUUGGAGUAGUCAUUUCUUGGUGGUACAGAGGCGGUGAUCUGACAUCUGACAAAUGGUGGUUCCUGAUCCUUGUGUGUGCCGUCAUUAUCUUCCAGUGUUUAACCACAGACAUUUAUGCCUUCCAUGCUAGGGUAGUACCUCCUACUGGCAUAUCUACACCCCCUCCUUUCCAGAACAGGACAAUCCCAGCCAGAAAUAUCACAUCAGCAUUUAACAUUACUACACCUCACAAAAUGGAGAAUUUCUUGUAUGACAUAACAGAAAGCCCCAUACCAGGGAGAUAGGAGUUGAUGGCCUAUGAAGUGACAAGAUGUCAAUAAAAGUUAUAUAUGAUUUCUCAUGUUUAUUAAAUUAACAUUUCUUGCAUGAUAUAACAGAGAAUCCCACUCUUUGAUGGGAGUUUGGACUAAUUAUUAAGUUAAAAUUUUUAUGAUAUAUGUAAGUUAUAUGUAUUUAGUGAACAUUGCUGUACUAAUAUUAUUUCAGUCAGCUUUAAAGUGCCCCAUGAAUCGGGCGACGUAUACCGCCAUGGUUACAUUAGAGGAUUAGAAGAGUUUGUUCGGAGGGAUAUAGGGAACGCCUACGUCCGUCCAUCCGUCCGUACAUAUGUCCAUCUGUCCAGGCAAUAUCUCAAAUAUCGUUGGCCCGAUUUUGUUCAUAUUUUGUACGCAUAUACCCAAUGGAUAUAGAAGUUCUGCUCGAAAGCCAAUUUUCAAAAUGGCCACUCAUUUAAAAUUAUCGGCCAUUUUAGUUCCAAUUUUACAGUAAUUUAAGUGCAAUAUGUAAAACUGUAAUAGCAAUAUGUUUUAAAUGUAAAAAAAUUAUAUAGGACUUUGAUCAUGGGCUUUCAACCAUGCUUUGAUAAAGCU